GAACCACCCGAUCCCAUCCCGAACUCGGCCGUGAAACCAGACAGCGCCGAUGGUACUAUCGCUCAAGCGAUGGAAGAGUAGGUCGCCGCCAGGC
rnacentral:rRNA from 1 species